GUCUGGUGUGGUGGUGGGUGCCUGUACUCUCAGCUACUUGGGGGGGCUGAGACAGGAAGAUCUCUUGAGUCCAGGAGUUCUGGGCUGUAGGGUGCUAUGCCAAUUGGGUAUCUACACUAAGUUUGAUAUCAAUAUGGGGGACUCUCGGGAGCAGGGGUCCAUCAGGCUGCCUAAGGAGGGGUGAACCAGCCUAGGUCAGAAACGGAGUGGGUCAAUACUCCUGUGCUGAUCAGUAGUGGGAUCACACCUGUGAAUAGCCACUGCACUCCAACCUAAGCAACAUAGCGAGACCCCGUCUCU
rnacentral:SRP_RNA from 1 species